GCCGCAAUAGCUCAGCUGGUAGAGCAACGCAUUCGUAAUGCGUGGGUCGGGGGUUCGACUCCCUCUUGCGGCACCA
rnacentral:tRNA from 1 species